AUAUAGAAAACCAUCAUAGGUUAAGGGAACACCGGUGAAAGGCCGGGGCUGCCCAGCAACCGUAACCGGGGACGAAAUCCACAGGAUGCCACUGGGAGUAUUUCCUGGGAAGGCGUGGAGAGUAGGUUGAUCCGGGAGCCGGGAGACCUGCCUAUGAUGAAAGUCACUU
rnacentral:ncRNA from 2 species